rnacentral:tRNA from 1 species
GCGGGGGUAAUUAAAAUCUCUAGAGCAAAGUCUGGUUAAAUGCGCAGGACUUAAGAUCCUGUCGCUUAGUGCGUUCGUGAGUUCAAAUCUCAUCCCCCGCA